rnacentral:rRNA from 1 species
AGUCAUAUGCUUGUCUCAAAGAUUAAGCCAUGCAUGUCUCAGUACAAGCCAAAUUAAGGUGAAACCGCGAAAGGCUCAUUAAAUCAGUUGUGGUUCCUUAGAUCGUACACAGAUUUCCUCGGAUAACUGUGGUAAUUCUAGAGCUAAUACGUGCAAACAGAACUCCGACCGGAGACGGAAGGAGCGCUUUUAUUAGAUCAAAACCAAUCGGCGUCGGCCUCGCGGUCGUCGUCGUACAACUUGGUGAUUCUGAAUAACUUAUUGCUGAUCGCACGGUCUCGCACCGGCGACGCAUCUUUCAAGUGUCUGACUUAUCAACUGUCGAUGGUAGGUUCUACGCCUACCAUGGUUGUAACGGGUAACGGGGAAUCAGGGUUCGAUUCCGGAGAGGGAGCCUGAGAAACGGCUACCACAUCCAAGGAAGGCAGCAGGCGCGCAAAUUACCCACUCCCGGCACGGGGAGGUAGUGACGAAAAAUAACGAUACGGGACUCAUCCGAGGCCCCGUAAUCGGAAUGAGUACACUUUAAAUCCUUUAACAAAAAUCUAUUGGAGGGCAAGUCUGGUGCCAGCAGCCGCGGUAAUUCCAGCUCCAAUAGCGUAU